UCAUCAAUAAUACAAUCAUGAAAUUUCAUGUCAGAUUGAUUUUGCACAAAGAUAUUUCCUCAGCUGAUAACAAGAACAAGUGUGAAAGUAUUGUUGUUCUUGGAAUGAGGACCUGAAACUCCAGGAGAAAUUAUUUCUAUCUAUUGAAUACCGGUAGCCGUUCUACUUCUGCAAGUACUGCAAGCGGCAAGUUCAUUGUAGCUUUCUUUAUACUAGUAGCUUCUGAAAUUUAAAGUGAAAAUGUCAACCAGCACGACAAGAGUCAUGUUUGUUUGUCGGGCAAACAGCUGCAGAUCUCAGAUGGCGGAGGGUUUUGGCUUGAAUUUAACGAAGUCUUCCAGCAUUGUGGAGGUGGUGAGCUGUGGCCUAGCUAAAAGUUCUGUGAACCAAAGGGCGGUGGCGGUGAUGAAAGAUGCCGGAGUGGACAUUUCAUCUCACCGUAGCAGGUCCAUUGAUGAAUUUAAGCCAGCUGAUUUCGAUGUAGUGAUCUCCAUGUGCGGGUGUAGUGCCACGUUGCCGGACGACUGGCGAAGCAGACCUGUGUUUCGUGAUUGGAAUUUGGAUGAUCCACCAGCACUUGUGGAUGGGGAGCCGGGUGUGUUUGAGCGAAUUCGGGAUGAAAUUCACACUUUAGUUCGGAACCUGAUCAGCGAGAUCUCAACAUCAACUUGAACUCCUUUCGGAGCAGCCACUGUCUCCGAGUGUGCUUUGCUUUCCAUGUUCAAGCGUUCCUCAGUAGCGCUGCAAUGUCAUGAGCUUUUCAUGUACCUGCCCAGUGCAUGCACUUGUGUUGGAAUUUGGCAACCAUUGUACUCGUCUAGUUUGUGCCACACUUGUUGUCUACUUGUAGCUUUUGGUCAUUCUCUUCUUCACUGUCUUCCAUUUGAGUGCUGUGUAGCUGGCUCUACACAGAUCAUUUCCCAUUCAGUAGUAUGAUGUCAUGUGGUGUAUUUCAAUGGAUUUGCUUUACUGUAUCUUGGAUUUUUAAAGUUUUAUUUGCAAAUUUUUCCACGUACUGAUUCUAGUGAAUCCUCCCAAGGUAAAAUGAAGGAUGGGUAACAUUAAUUUACUUCAGAAGAAUAUGAAGUUUUAUCGGGUUCUAUUGUGCAGUAUGCUGGCUCCGACAUGAAUUCAACUUGCACAAUAUAAUUAUGUAUCGCUAAACGGCAAAACUAGGGCGCAUGAAUCAGCUCCAUAGUGGACUGGAAUAGGCUGUCACGACCAAUGCAUGUUAUCUGACAAUCAUCAACCGCAAGCGUCAGGUAACACAAUGGUUUUAUAUAACUUUUAUGGUAUGUGUGUUUACCGGUUUGUGUCCUGUAUGUGUAAACGUUUCUUCUUCUUUUCAAGUUACUAGUACUGUAAAGUGACAAACUUUCGCUAGA